GCCGAAGUGGCGGAACUGGUAGACGCGCUGGGUUCAGGGUCCAGUGCCUAUUGCAGGUGUGGGGGUUCGAGUCCCCCCUUCGGCA
rnacentral:tRNA from 1 species